rnacentral:rRNA from 1 species
AUGACGAUCCUGAGCUGGAACUGUCGGGGCCUUGGGCAGCCUCCUACAGUUCAAGAACUCGUGUGCCUUGUGCAUACCUAUAAGCCCAAGCUCGUCUUCCUCACUGAAACACGGCAAAACAAUAAGUACGUCAGUAACCUCAAGUGGUGACUAGGCCUCUGUCAUUGUAUCACGCAACCUGGCAUUGGAAAAGGUGCUGGCAUUGCGCUUUUUUAUGAUGAGAAUGUUGAAAUAAAGAAGAUUGCUGUUGGGGUGAGAUACAUUGAUGUGUUGAUC